CAGUCGCCGCGGUAAUACGGAGGGGGCUAGCGUUGUUCGGAAUUACUGGGCGUAAAGCGCACGUAGGCGGCUUGGUAAGUUAGAGGUGAAAGCCCGGAGCUCAACUCCGGAAUUGCCUUUAAGACUGCCGAGCUAGUAGGUGAGAGAGGUAAGUGGAAUUCCGAGUGUAGAGGUGAAAUUCGUAGAUAUUCGGAAGAACACCAGUGGCGAAGGCGGCUCACUGGACCGACACUGACGCUGAGGCGCGAAAGCGUGGGGAGCAAACAGGAUUAGAUACCCCUGUAGUCCCUGUCUCUUAUAC
rnacentral:rRNA from 1 species